AGCUGAUGAACACUGUUAAUAUAUUGCGUGACGGUGCAGUGGUAAUAUGGUCGCGGUACGCGGUACGUGUUUUACAUGCGGCGAACCCACCCGGCCAGGCUACCACUUACCAGUCUUUGUACGCGGGAUAAGUAUGGCUAGGCCCUAGUUUUACUCCCCUUAUGCCUAUAUUUGCGGUCUCAACUUCACGUUCCUUUUUCCAAAAACGCUAAUGAUGGUCAACGAAGUCCGCUGAGAUAUUACCAUGGGGACGAAAGAAGACUUUGAGGCCAUUUUUGACCUUCUCGAUCCUACAUGCCGGGGUUUUGUGGAUGCAAACCAACUGCAGGAGUUUCACAAAGCAUUUCACUACACAUCAAUAAAUGCUGAUCAAAUAGAUGCUGCCAUCAGUCAGGUGUGCAGUGGAGGAAACAGGUGUCCAAAGUUCUGUUUCCUUGAUGUUCUUUUGGAGCUGGAGAGACGCCGAACUGUGGAAGAGCGGGCAUGGUGGGACUUCCAGGCCUUGGAUAGUCGAGGCAACCACCGCAUCACUCCUCGGGAAGCCUUGAUCCUGAUGAAAGCCACCCACCAGGAACACUUCACUACCCAGACCUGGCAGGCAUUCCUAAAGUCUCGUGAUGUAUCUGCCAAUGAAGAUGUAACUUUUAACGAGAUAAGGAUGUGGCUCUGUAAUCCUCCUUUACAAAGUGGGGAGGAAUGGGAGAUGGAAGAUAUCACUGCAGAGGGAGAGAAGCUGGACAGAGAAAAGAGAACAUUGGAUUAUCAGGAGCAUAAGGAGUUUUUGGUUUUACAGGAGGAUGAGUUGUCACAGACUGUGGACGCACAAGAUAGACAGUACUAUCAAAAUAAAUUCCGUAGCAAGGCAAAGCGCAAGCUCAACCGUUGGGUAAAUCUUGGUGUGGAGGCACUGAUCUUUGAUGAUGGCAAGGACUAUGAGGUUGACUACAGGAUGCGGAAUCGUGUUACUGUCCAGGAUCUGUUAGAGGCACUGGAACAAAAAUAUGAUAUCCUUAGAGAGAAGCUGCUUUGGGAAGCUGUUAAAAAACAUAUUGGGGAUCCUAUUUGGUCCUCCAUGUCAGAGGGAGAGCAGCAGGAACAAGUCCUCCGUGUCCAGAUGAAAGAGCAUCAAUUGCGACGAAGCAGUGACCUAGAUCAGAUCUCACGCCUGGUCAUCUCUUACCAGCAUUAUGACUCUAGGCUGGAAGCUAUGAUAGGAUGCCUGCGCAGUGAGUUUGAACGUCAGUCCAUGGACCAUCAAAGCAAAGUUGCUGUACUGCUGAAUGAGGGAAAGACAGAGGAUCAGAUUUACGAGAUAUUUGCUAAUGAGUAUGCUCAGAGAGUGCAAGGAGUAACAACAUGUGGGCAGCUCCUUAUUGAUCUUCACAAGCGCUACAUGAAAGAGCGUGAGUUUCUUCUGUCUGUACUCAAGAUGGGGAACCGUAGGGCAUUGACCUCUGCUGAGAUGAUUACUGAGUAUGCAUCCCUUGCUGCACAGCAGCUGAUUGCCUCCUACGAGGGCGAGUCAUUUGAGUAUUCUUCAAUGGCAACGGGACUUGCUGAACGCCCACAGCAGUACAUGUGCCCAGGAUUUGACAGCGAUCGAGAUUUAAAUGAGCUGCUUGCUUUGGAGAGACUGCAUCGGAUGAAAGGACGCAGACCUCCCAAAGUGAUUGAUGAUGAUGGCCAUCUGAUAGGCAAGAAUCGAGGCAUUGUAGCCUGGCAGGUGGAGGUAGUCAGACAACUCUUGAAGAAACACAGCCAUGAAUGCGAGGUUAUGAUCUAUCUCCUGCAAGGCAAAGAAAGUGCCACUUGGCUCUCUGUUGCCCGACGGAAGAGCCAGGAACAUCGUGAAGACAGAUUAAAAGCGUUGCGACUACAGCGUUCCAACUGGCGUCAAGGCUCCAAAGAGCACUUGGUCUCUAAAAGGACUGUACAUCUCAAGAUAUUGUUAGAAGGCACAGGUCUCUAUCAUGAAAACAGACGUACUGAGAUUCGUGGAGGGCACAACUUCACUGAUAAUCAAGUCUCUGCCUGUGUGCUAGCUGACUUGCAGCAAAAACAAGCACAAGAGGUAGAGAAGGUUGUGGUAGAGAUGCAGACAAUGACUGCUGACAUUCUGAAGGAAUUAUGGAGGCGUGAACACCGUUCAAGGACUGAGGAAUGGUUGGACAAUGUAUCAGCUGUCAUUUUAUCAACAAUUGAACUCACUGAAGAAGACAAAGAAUUGGUAGAAGCACUGGAGGCAAAAUAUGAUGUUUUGAGGGAGAAAAUACUGACAGACCAACUGAUGAGAGAGUUUGGAGAGUCUCAGUGGUUGAUGAUGUCUGAGCAGGAGCGUCAGCGACUCCUGAUUAAGAAGAAGAUGGAAGAGCGGCAGCUUAGACGAGAAGGCAAAAUGGAUGAGCUGGCACGUCUCAUCAGUGGUGCUGAUAAGGAUAGUAAACAUCUCCAGAAACUGAUGGGAAAAAACCGUGAAGAAUAUGAGAAACAACUAGCUGCACGUCUUGCUCGUAGGGAGCGUCGUCGGGCCAUGGGGCUGGACUCAGAUGAAUCAGAUGAGUCAGAUUCAGAGGAAGCAGGUACUACUGCUGGCCAUAAUUUAUUACUGGACCUUCAGUCUCGUUAUAAUGAAGACAUGGAUGCCUUGAUGGCUUUGCUGCGACGUCAACAGGGCAACGAAAUGAGUGAAAGGGAGAGACAGGCAUUACUACUCCGAUUGAGGAGGGAGAAGAGACGGGCAGCCAUGGAGGAUAACUUUGAUGAGGCAGCACUUCUCCUUGGCUUGGCUGAGAGGAACAAACUCAAUAUGGAAGAAAGGAUGAAAGCUGAUCGAGAACGUCAGUUGCUGUUAGCAAGAGAACGUUUAGGAAACCGUCAGCGUCGUCGAACUGAAGGGAAAGAAGAAAUUGGCAACCAUGAGGAACUUUCUGUACCUGCUGAAGGUGAUAUUAAUGGUUGGCGUGAGACUGUCCUCAAGGAGCUGGACCGUAAGCAUAUCCUGGAGAGGGAACUUCUACUGACUAUCCUGACUGAUGAAGGCAGUGAGGAGUUAAGAGAUGCAGCCAGACAGAUGGUACAGAAAGCCAGGCAAGAGAGGUUGCAGGAACUCAAAGAAGAGGCAGAAAAACUUAACCCUGACAAGAAAGAAGAGAAAGAGGGUCAUCGAGACAUUCUUGAAGAAGCUGGUGCCAUCAAGAGCAUUCUGAGGACCAUAAGUCUAACAACCAAGAGACAUGGUCAAAAGGUUGAAAUGGAUGAAGUCCACGCUAGUAUUUUAGCUGACCUCCAAGAGGAACAAGAAAGAGAGAGUGAAGUGGUUAUGGCUGGCCUUGUCUCCAUGAGUGAGGAAGAGUUGUCCAAGAUGCGUAUAAAGCAGAUAUGGGAGGUUAAGAUGGGCAUUGGCAAGAAUGUUCUGAAUGUCUUCACCCAAUAUGAAGGAGCAGCUGAAGACGAUGCCAUCUUAAAGGCUCUGGACAAGAAGUACGAUGCUUUGAAAGACAAGCUGCUCAUUGACAUAUUGCGGAGUCAUUUAGGAGAGAAAGAGUGGGCUAGAAUGAAGGAGCAAGAUAGACAGAAGAAGCUCUUGGACCUAAGACAAGAAGAAAGAAGACUACGCAAAGAAGGCAAAAUGGAUGCCCUAGCUGCUCUCCUAGGAAAUCAUGCCAAGACGCAGGCAGACCUUAAGAAACUGAUGGGGGACAGCCGAACUGACUACCAGGAGAAACUUAAGAUGAGAAUUGAGAGAAGGAAAAAGAAAAUUGCUGAAGGUGGAAACCUGGAUGACAUAGAAGAAGAACUGUCAGAAGAGGAAGGUGAUUCUCAAGACUCUUCCUCCAAAGGCUCAAGCCCCCUAGAGGACCUGCAGAGGCGUUAUGAUAGUGAACGGGAGGCAAUUCUCAUGAGAUUGAACAGUUCAGAGGCUGAAUACAUGAGUGAGAAGGAACGACAGGCAGAACUGAUUCGACUUAGACUAGAAUUACGUAAAGCAAGAGGAGAGGACAACUUCAUUGCUGCAGCACUAGUGAUGGGGCUCGCUGAACGCAACCAAGCAACCACAUCCCAAAGACUUAAGCAUGACAGGCAGCGACAAGAAUCCCUUGCCAAGCAGCGGAUUGAAGCCAUGAGAAGAAAACGAGCUUUGGGAACUAUCCAAGAGGAGACUGAAGAUACAGUGACUGAUAAUGACGAUAGGAACUCAAUGCAGGAUGCAGUAAUCAGAACCCUUGAGAAGAAACACAACCUGGAAAGAGAAACACUGUAUGAUCUCCUUCAUGCAAAGUAUGGGGAAGAUGAGAUUCUGAUUGCAGAACACAUGACUCAAGAGCAACGGCAAGACAUCCUACAAGAACUAAUGGAAAGAAGACGAGCCAUGGAUGUUGGCAAAAAACAAGAGAAUCAAGUUAUUUUGAGUGAAGCAUCAAUUGUGAAGAUGGCAGGACGAAAAAAAAUACUUGAAAAGGAGACUACCAGGACUUCCAUAAGCAAGGAUGAUGUGGUAGUAACCAUCAUGGCUGACCUGCAACAACAACAAGCCAGAGAGUGUGAAGCUCUGCUUAGUCAACUCCCUGAUAAGGACUUUGAGUCCUUGGUGCAUGUUCAGCAGCAGAACAUUCAGGACCAGAAGAAUGAACGGAAUGAGAAUGUUGCUGUUGUGGUGAUGACAGCCGAUCUGAGCAAGAAGGCUGGGGAGGAGGAGUUAGUGGAUGCUUUGCAAGGGAAGUUUGAUGCUUUGAAGGAUAAGAUCCUGACAGAGGCAUUAAUGAAGCAGAUUGGUGAAGCUGAAUGGGCUGUGCUUUCAGAGAAGGAGAGACAAGUCCGUCUGGUCAAGCUUCGACUUGAAGAACGACGACUGCGCCAGGAGGGAAAGUAUGAUGAGGCUGCUGCACUGUUGGGUGAUGCCAUCGCAUCGCAGACUGCGCUGGAGCUGUUGCUUGGGGAUACCAAGAAGCAACAGGAGGAUAAACUGAAAGAGAGGCUUGAGAAGAGACGACUGAGAGUGGCUCAGGGCAUGACUGAGGAGGAAAUUAAUCAACUGGAGUGGAAAGAGAUUGAACAAGAGGAAGAGGAACUGAGGAAGAAGACACCUAAAAACAUCCUGGAAGACUUGGACAACCGUCUGGAUGCAGAGAGGGAUGCCCUCUUGGCUGGUUUAAGAGAUGCCAAUGACUGUCUGCGUAGUGAGAAAGAACGACAGCUAGAGUUGGUGCGUCUGAGGAGAGAGCAACGUAAAGCUCGCAAGGAGGAGAAGUUUGAUGCAGCUGCCCUUGCCAUGGGAUUGGCCAAACAAGCUCAGGAUGCUGAAGACCAACGAGAGAAGGAAAGACAGAGACAGAUGCAGCUUGCUAAGGAACGGUUGGCUCAGUGUCGUAAAACUAAGGAAGACAGAAGACGAGCCAAGGAAACCACAGGACCCAUUCCCAUGCCUGAGGAUGAACAGAGUGAGGUCAUGAUGCAAGAAGCUGUCAUACAAGAAAUGGAAGUCAAACAUGAACAAGAGAGAGAUGUGCUUAUUGAGUUAAUGCAAGAUCAGGAAAAAAGCAGCUUGAGAACAAACGCCCGACAGAUGACCGAGGACAAUCGACAAAAGAAGCUGAAGGAGCUGCAAGGAGCACGUCAGGAAUGGCGUGACAGUCGACCAUCAAAGGAAAAUGAAGAGGAACAAAUAGACAUAUUUAGUAAAGCCACAGCCCUUACUAUGGAAAGCCUUCUAGAUGAAGCCAGGCAGACACAGGGAGAUGGUAUUACUGAUAAUGAGAUUCAGAUUGCCUUGUUGGCUGAUCUACAGCAACAACAGGAACAGGAAGCUAGACGUCUGAUGGAAGACCUGGGUUCAAAGACCUUAACUACUCUCAAGCAGUUGAAGCAGGUGCAGUACAUUGCCCGAGCCAACGGCUGGAAUGAUAACGUUGCAGGUACAGUGCUAGUCACCAAGUCAGAUUCCUCUGAGGUCACUGAGGAGCAGCUUCUCAAGGCACUAGAAGUCAAGUAUGACACACUCAGAGACAAGCUACUCAGUGAGGCACUUAUGAAACAGAUGGGGGAAGUAGAAUGGGCUCGUCUGUCAGAGAGAGAACGUCAGGGUAAACUAAUGAAGCUGAAGUUACAAGAGAGGAAGAUGAGACAGGAAGGCAAAUAUGAUGAAGCUGCUGCCUUGCUUGGACAAGGACUCAAAGACCAACAAGAGUUGACCAAGCUGCUGGGCAACACAAAGGCUGAGCAGGGGGAGAGAUUGAAGCAACGUCUUGAACGACGUCGCCAGCUAAUUGAAAAGAGAGCUAAAGAAGGUCUUGCAGUAGAUGAUGAGACACUGGAUGCAAUAAUUGACAAGGAGGAAAAAAGACGAGACUUAAUGGAAGACAGGAAAAAGAGGCGGAACAUUCUCGAAGAGCUGAACUCCCAUUUUGAGGAUGAGAGGGAUCAGCUUCUUGCAGCCUUGCGUAACCAGGAUGCUUCCUUAAAGACUGAGAGGGAACGUCAGUUAGCUCUGGCCAAGCUGCGUCGUGACCAACGCAAGCUUCAACUGGAGGAUAAGUUUGAUACAGCAGCUCUCAUCUUUGGCAUGGCCCAGCAACAAGAGCAGGCUAGGGAAUCUAAUUUAAAGAAAGACAAAGAGCGACAGAAGCAGCUGGCUCGGGAGCGAAUCACCAACCUGCGCAAGAAGAAAGCUGCAGCCCAAUCAGUUCAAGAUACAACUCCAGCUACCUUUUCUACCCCUGUUACCACCACCACAGGGGUAUUGAGUCAGGAGGACUUGGUAAAGAAGCUAAGACAAGAAGAGGAGGAGAAUGCUAAGGUGGAUGCUGUGAUCUCCACACAAAAAGAUGUUGGUGUAACCCUGCACACAACCAUCUUGGAUGAAAUUGAGAAGAAGCAUGGCAUGGAACGAGAUCUCCUUUUGGAACUUGUAGAGUUGGCUCAAUCAAACAAGCAUGAAGUCUCCAGAGUAGAACAACUAACUGAACAGGAGCUGAUGAAUGAACUGAAGAUUGGUAAUCAGAGCUGGCAGGAAUGUGAAUUACAGUUGGUUAACUUUGGAAAUGGAAGCAGUAAUCUUGAUGCUGUUGCUGAGCUGCAACACCAGAAAAGACAGGCUCUCAAAUCUGCCAUACUGCUCCGAAUGGAAGAUUACCGCCGUACUUUAACCAUCAAAACCAAGCUUACAAGUGAAGAGAUUACUGAUGAGGUGCUAGUGUCACUCCUAGCUGAACUCCAAUUGAAGCAGUCUUCAGAGAAUAAGGCCUUGAACAAGAUCCUGUCAUUUGAUGAGGAUCCUGAGAUGCUAGAAACUGACAAUGAACUCAUCAAGCAACUGAUCAGUAGUCAGCGCAAAGCCAGGCGGGAACUGCAGCUCAAAAACCUGGAGGCAGUAGUGUUUGGUGGUCUAGCUGCCAUCAAGGAGGAAGAUGAGAAACAACUAGAGGCAGAGAGCAAGGAGGAGGAGACCAAAAUGAUGCAGGAAUUGGAAAAAGAAAUUGAGCAGGAGAAACAGGAACUGCAGGAAAAAGGAAUAGUAAAUGCAAUGAAAGCUACUGGCGAGAAUGUAGACCCUUCAGCACUUUUGGCUGAAUUGGAGGCACAACAUGCAGCUAAGAGAAAGACCAUGCAAGACCAGUUGCAGCGGCAGCGACGUUUGAUGAGGAGUAGGUUGGCUGAGAGAAGACAGAAGCAAGAGGACAAGGAGUAUGAAGAAGAUGCAGCGAUGGCAUUAAUUCAGAAUGCAGAACAUAUCCAGAAUAAGCGAGACCAGGAUGCCCAGAUGAUGAAAGAGAAGCAGACUAGCCUGAUGAAGGACCGCUUGGCCCAACGUCGUGAGAAACGUCAUCAGGCAGAAAUGGCUAAGGAAGAGGAAGAAAGAAAGAAAAAGGAGGCAGAAGAAGCCAAGAAAACCAAAGAUGCUGCAGCUGAACGUUUGCCUCCUGGUCUAGGGAUGCAGCGAGAGAAGACUGUGAUUGAUGUAUCAGUAUCUGAGGAGAAGAAGAAAGCAUUGUUUGAUACACUGGUACGGGAACACACAAAGGCACAGUUGAAGAUUGAGAUGGAACAAGAGAAACAGACUCAACAGUUAAAGGAGCGUAUCCAGCAGCGUAAGAAUCGUUACCAGGAUGCUGCCACCAUGCUGUUAGGCUUAGGUGAACGUCAGAAGACAAUGGUGGCCAAAUCACAGAAGGAGGAGCGAGACCGGCAGCUGACCAUGGUUAAGGAGCGCAUAGAGAAAGUGCGCUAUGAGCGAACUCAGACCAUGAAGCUGAAGAAAGACCUCAAUGCCAAGACCUUCAAGGACAUGAUGGAACCAGACAGGGACAGUGGCCUGUCUAAGGAUGAGAAAAUGGCCCAGGUUGCUGCUAACAUGCAGAGGAAAUUCAUGGAAGAUGAACAGGAGAUAAAGAAGGGUACCAAAAGGAAAAGGAAGGACUAAAAGCAAAUCUGAUUCCUGGGCCUCGUUCUUCCAACCCUUGAAAACUGACCUGACUGUCGCUCCAGAUGAUGACAAUGACCACCCUGAUGGAACCAUUGCAGCUCCUUCUCUUCCUGGACAGUCUCAAAUAGACCAACCC
rnacentral:misc_RNA from 1 species